UGGGGAAUUUUGCACAAUGGGGGGAACCUUGAUGCAGCGACGCCGCGUGAGGGAUGGAGGCCUUCGGGUUGUGAACCUCUUUCGCUCGUGUGCAAGCCGCUAUUUGGGUAGUGGUGAGUGUAGCGGGUAAAGAAGCGCCGGCUAACUACGUGCCAGCAGCCGCGGUAAUACGUAGGGCGCGAGCGUUGUCCGGAUUUAUUGGGCGUAAAGGGCUUGUAGGCGGUUUGUCGCGCCUGUCGUGUAAUCCUCUGGCUUAACUGGGGGUGUGCGGUGGGUACGGGCAGGCUUGAGUGCGGUAGGGGAGAUUGGAAUUCCUGGUGUAGCGGUGGAAUGCGCAGAGAUCAGGAGGAACACCGGUGGCGAAGGCGGGUCUCUGGGCCGUUACUGACGCUGAGGAGCGAAAGCGUGGGGAGCGAACAGG
rnacentral:rRNA from 1 species